AUUGAACGCUGGCGGCAUGCUUUACACAUGCAAGUCGAACGGUAACAGGCCUUCGGGUGCUGACGAGUGGCGAACGGGUGAGUAAUGCAUCGGAACGUACCCAGAGGUGGGGGAUAACGCAGCGAAAGCUGUGCUAAUACCGCAUGUGAUCUGAGGAUGAAAGCGGGGGACCGAGCAGCAAUGUUUGGCCUCGCGCCUUUGGAGCGGCCGAUGUCGGAUUAGCUAGUUGGUGGGGUAAAGGCCUACCAAGGCGACGAUCCGUAGCUGGUCUGAGAGGACGACCAGCCACACUGGGACUGAGACACGGCCCAGACUCCUACGGGAGGCAGCAGUGGGGAAUUUUGGACAAUGGGCGCAAGCCUGAUCCAGCAAUGCCGCGUGCGGGAAGAAGGCCUUCGGGUUGUAAACAGCUUUUGGCAGGAACGAAACGGUGUCCGCUAAUACCGGGCGCUAAUGACGGUACCUGCAGAAUAAGCACCGGCUAACUACGUG
rnacentral:rRNA from 1 species